AUUCUACUCCCGCCGUUGCACAAUACAUGCCUUCUAUUUGUCAAAAUAUAUAUGUAUCUAGACAUGUUUUAGUAUAUAGGUACAUCCAUUUUUGGACAAAUGGAAGUCAAGUAUUUUGGAACGGAGGGAGUACACA
rfam:Triticum aestivum genome assembly, contig: Triticum_aestivum_CS42_TGACv1_scaffold_221459_3B